rnacentral:lncRNA from 1 species
GGGGAGCAAGGCCUGCGGGGAGGCGCAGGAUGGACGCGUUGGCUGUCAUGAUGUAGGACCUCCUGACCUAGAACCAUGCCCGGCGCAGGGAGAACAACGAGCUUACGGACCGGGUGCGGGGGCUGCUGUGCGAGAAAGCCUACCUGCUGGCCCGGGAGCGUUCGCCGGCCCACCUGGUGGCUUUCCCUGGACGUUUAACGGCGACUCCGCCCGGCCUCCCGACUUUUUGAUGCAGGCGUUCUCUUACAUGACUUUCUUCGAGGCUAGAUUCUCGAAAGACAUCCUGAAGGUGGCUUUCUUAAUUAGCUGCCUCACCGGCUGGCGGAGCAGUUCGUAGUCGCCUACAUCGAGAGGGAGAGCCCCGUCCUGGCUCAGUACUGGGGCUUCGUGGACGCGCUGUAGCGGGUCUUCGCCGUCGUGGGUAGGAAACAGUCGGGCCGGAUCCCCGGUGUCUGGGGAGCGGCUGCCGGCCGGGCCCGCGCGAGCCGCUUCACUCCUACAAGCCCGGCUCACUAGUUCCAAGCUGCUGGACUUUGACCCUCGCUGGGAAGCUUGAUCGCCGCCUGUUCUCGCCAAUCUCUAUGCCUUUGCACUGCCCAGCAACCCGGUCACUGCCCAGGACCUGUUAAAAGUUGAAUGGACCUCCCAGAAUCACGCCGCUGCCACCGCCGUUUCUAGAGACGGCUUUUGGCCACCUUUGAGAAUCAGGGUCAAACUUGGAAGGGCCUGCAUUUGUCACACUUCCUCGGACACUAAUUUGGAUAGUUCAGGCCCAGAGACGGCUUCCCGGGUUAGUGUGCCUGACAACACUGAAGAAAAAUUGUGACAUUUUCCUUCCCCAGAAUUACUUCGUUUUAUACAUUUCACUUCUCUUCUGAAAUCACAGCAAUGCCAGUUUGCGCCUUUUGGUCUGAGGAACGCAGGCCCUGGCCACUACCAGGAAAAAGUAUUUACUUUUAAAACUUGAAUGUAUAUCUUUACCGUAUGCCUAGUACAGUAGUGCUUGGAAGAAACAGAUUAGUAAGACAAAAUAUAUGUCUUCAAGAACACUUACGUUCUGAGAAAGAAUUCUGAAUGCAGAUUCUAAUGUCUGGUAAAAUGCUUUACAGUGUAAAGAAUGCAUAUAUGAUUCUUAUUUUAUGGCAUUUUAAACUUUCCACCCCACGGUUUUAAAGUGUUAAUAUAUGUUAAAAAUAUAUGCAAUUUAUAAAGGAGAAGGAAAGCCCAGCUUGAUUUUUGCUGCCAAAGAUGGUAUAUUUAAAAUUAAACGUAACUAAUGGCAAAAAAUAAUGGGAAUGGUGCAGUCUUUGAGCUGUAUCCAGUUGGCAUUAUUCUCUUGGACUAAAAGGAAUAGUAUUAACUUCCUCACUUUGGGUAAGCCACUUUAGAUUUUUGGGCUGCAGUUUUCUCAGGUAAUUAGAGACUUUAUAUUAUGAAAGUUUGGUUCACAAUUCUUUGAGUCUCUUUUGGGAACAAAGAAGGUAAGAGGAGGAUAUGUGCCCUCCUCUCAAUCAAGGGGUUUCUUGAAACCCUCUAAGGAGAAAAAUCUGAAACUGCCUUUCCUAAAACGUUCAUGGGUUUGUCAUUCUGAUGAUCAAUAUCGUCCCACUGAAGUAUCUUUUUGAAUUCCUAGUUAGGAAUCUUUAUGUUAAGAUAAACUGAUCACUCUCUCCUUCGUGGACAGUUUAUCUACCUAAAGAUGAUAGGGGAAAACACUGUUUUUGAAAGACGAAAUAAAGACAUGUUGUAGCAGUUAUUUUAUUGCCAGUUAGUAUUACAAAAGUUCCUAAGGAACUCCCCAUUAACUUGGCCUCAUAUGAACUACGCUUGAGUCCCGUUUUAAAUUGAGUCUUGAUCGUAUUUACUGACAGUUUCAAAGCAGCGUUUUUUUUUUUCCUCCAUAGUAAAAAACCUACAGGAUACCACCACCAAAGGAAAAAACAAGUUUUUUUCAGUAAACCUCACAAGAGCAUACAUUUGAUAGAAUACACGGAUUUUCUAAUGAAAGCUCGCCGUCACCAUUUUAUAAGUCAGAACAUGAAAGUCAAAAUAUCUCAUACAGAUGUCUUUUUUUUUUGAGAAGGUACACAAGGCUUGCUUGUAGAGAUGGAGUUACAUGGAGGGACAGAAGGUCACUGGUCAGUGAUUUUAGGUUUUUAUACUUCUGAAAACAGGUAAUUACAGAUUCUGAUCAGUUUAUCAUUUUCUUUAGUCUUUUAUUUUCUGCUGAAUGCUCUCAAGGGAACGGAUCCAUACCUGUUUAUCAGGCUCACCUGGAAGAGCCAAGUCAUCCACUCAGGUCUUCCUCUGGACCUGCAUAAUUUCCUCAUUUACUAGAUUGGGUUUCUUUUAUGUGUGGGCUUUUAAUGCUUGGUAUCUCUGGUCUUCCUAAUAUGUAAUGCUUAGCAUAAUAAUUUUAGCCAUUAUUCAUUUUUGUAGUAGGCUUCACUAGCUUCCUGCUUCUCAAAUCCCUUGAAAAGAUGAGAUUUUUUUUUCGUGGAGUUCACGUCUAGUAAGUUGGUCUUGAUUUUUUUUUUCUUUCAGAACCUUCUGGAUUUCAGCUUUGGCAAGCUUCCUCUGUUUCUGAGACACCUCCAUCACCUGGGUUACAAUCCCAUCCAUGAUUUUCCCCAUCUCCAGGCAUUUUUCAUGGAAAGCUCCUCAUGCUUUUUAAUUCCAGUUUAUCCAUUUGUGUGGCUUUAACCUCCACAUCCAGGUCUUUCUGGCUAAACUGCAGUAUAUCCACAAUGGGGCCAAUGGACACAUAAGGGAGGCCCUAUCACAGGAACACGAACACCCGGAGUCGCUAGAAAUCAGAUUCCACCGGCUUUGCUUCAGGCCGACUUCCUAAGGAAGGCAUGGUAGCAUCACAGAUGCUGUUUGUCUCAGUUUCCUGAGAAGCCAGUUUCUUAGAGCUGUCAUUCAAGAGUGGGUCAAAUUUGAGAUAUAAAAACCUUUCUCAAGGUAGACUCUUUGGCCCCUAUGCCUAGUAUGUCAGCUGGGCCUCUGAAGCUCUCCUCUUUGAGGUCCUGGCAGGCUCUGGCCCCUGUUGAGAAGGGGAAGCAGUCAUGUGAACUCAUGUGCUGGAAGAAUCCACUCUACCCCUUCCCUGGCUUCUCUGCUGCAAUUUUUGUCUUUAAACGUAUUUUCAGUUUCCUUGAUGGAGAACUAUCAAAGCAGUCAAAGCUAUCAAAAUAAAAAAGAAUUCUGAUUGGGUGCAGUGGCUCACACCUGUCAUUCCAGCACUUUGAGAGGCCAAGGUGGGCAGAUCACAUGAGGCCAGGAGUUCAAGACCAGCCUGGCCAACAUGGCAGAAACCCCAUCUCUACUAAAAAUACCAAAAUUAGCCGGGCAUGGUGGAACACACCUGCAAUCCCAGCUACUCGGGAGGCUGAGGCAAGAGAAUCGCUUGAACCUGGGAGGCAGAAGUUGCAGUGAAACAAGUUGGUGCCAAUGCAUUCCAGCCUGGAUGAUGGAGCGAGACUCUGUCUCAAGAAAAAAAAAACAAAAACAAAAACAGAACUCUGCCUCAUAGCGUCUUUUAAGUUAUACACUGGACCUAUCCUUUCCUCACUGACAGACAUUUUAAAAAUUUUUUGGUAAGGCCUAGUUCAUAUAAAAUGUAAUCCAAGCCAAAAGUUAACAAGAAUAAGGGGAGGAAAGGGGACUCCAAUAGCAGAGAAAGGUAUUUACCUGGGAUAUACACUGCAAGAAAAUCAAAGCUAUAAGAAACGUCCAUGAAUAGUAGCCAUAAGGCAUCAGAGUGAUAAAAUUCCUGUCCCUAGGAGGGAAUAUUGGAGUUUGCCAGAGAAACAGAAUGAGAGAGACAGAGAGGUUUAUUGUAGGAAUUGGCUCAUAUGAUUACGGAGGCUGAGAAGACCCACGAUCUGCCAUCUGCAAGCUGGAGAAUCAGGAAAGCUGGAGGUGUAAUUCAGUCAAGUCCAAUGGCCAGAGAAGCAAGUGUACUGAUAUCCAAGAGCAGGAGAAAAUAGAUGUCCCAGAACAAGCAGAGAGGCUGAUUUUGUCCUUCCUCUGCCUUUUUGUUUCAUAUGGGGCACUGAAUGGACUGAUGCCCAUCCACAUUAGUGAGGGUGGAUCUUCUUUACUCAGUCUACCAGUAGAAAUGUCAAUGACUUCCAGAAACACCCUCACCAACACACGUGGAAAUAAUGUUUUACCAGGUAUCUGGGCAUCCCUUGGUUCACUCAAGUUGACACAAAAUUAACCAUCACAGAAGGAGACUGGCCUUACUCUGAAAUUAGGAAACUAAAGAAGUGACCAGAAUGGAGACUAGGUAGAGACAACUAGUUCUCUACCAAACAUGUACAGUUAUUCGUUGGUAUCUGAAGGGGAUUGGUUCCAGGAACUCUCAGGGAUACCAAAAUCUGCAGGUGCUCAAGUCAUUUAUAUAAAAUAUUACAGUAUUUGCAUAUAACCUUUGCACAUCUUCCAUAUACUUUAAAUCAUCUCUACAUUACUUAUAAUAAUGAAUGUGUAAAUGCUAUGAAAAUAGUUACUACACUAUUGUUUAUUUGUAUUUUUAUUGAAUUGUUUUGGGGUGGGGGGCAGCUGUAUCUUUCUUAGUAAUAGAACCCCUGGUUUUAGCUGGGCACAUGACUGCCCUCAAUAAAGAUUAAAGUACCCCAGCCUUCCUUGAGAUUGUGGCCAUGUGACUGAACUUUAGACAGUGAGAUAUAAGCAGAUAUCUUCUGUGGCAGUGUUAGGAAAC